rnacentral:ncRNA from 1 species
UUCGCCAAUUAAAGCGGUACGUGAGCUGGGUUUAAAACGUCGUGAGACAGUUUGGUCCCUAUCUGUUGUGGGCGCAGGAUAUUUGAGAGGAGCUGUCCCUAGUACGAGAGGACCGGGAUGGACGAACCUCUGGUGUUCCAGUUGUUCCGCCAGGAGCAUCGCUGGGUAGCUACGUUCGGCAGGGAUAACCACUGAAAGCAUCUAAGUGGGAAGCCCACCUCAAGAUAAGAUAUCCCUCUGCGCAAGCAGACUAAAGGCCCCUCGGAGACUACGAGGUUGAUAGGUCGGGUGUGUAAGGGCAGUAAUGUCUUUAGCUUACCGAUACUAAUCGGCCGUGCGGCUUGGUCAU